rnacentral:rRNA from 1 species
GACGAACGCUGGCGGCGUGCUUAACACAUGCAAGUCGAACGAAGAGCGAUGGAAGCUUGCUUCUAUCAAUCUUAGUGGCGAACGGGUGAGUAACGCGUAAUCAACCUGCCCUUCAGAGGGGGACAACAGUUGGAAACGACUGCUAAUACCGCAUACGAUCUAAACUCGGCAUCGAGGAUAGAUGAAAGGUGGCCUCUACAUGUAAGCUAUCACUGAAGGAGGGGAUUGCGUCUGAUUAGCUAGUUGGAGGGGUAACGGCCCACCAAGGCGAUGAUCAGUAGCCGGUCUGAGAGGAUGAACGGCCACAUUGGGACUGAGACACGGCCCAGACUCCUACGGGAGGCAGCAGUGGGGAAUCUUCCGCAAUGGACGAAAGUCUGACGGAGCAACGCCGCGUGAGUGAUGACGGCCUCCGGGUUGUAAAGCUCUGUUAAUCGGGACGAAAGGCCUUCUUGCGAAUAGUGAGAAGGAUUGACGGUACCGGAAUAGAAAGCCACGGCUAACUACGUG